rnacentral:rRNA from 1 species
UACGGCGGGUGCAAGCGUUAUCCGGAUUCACUGGGUUUAAAGGGUGCGUAGGUGGGCAAGUAAGUCAGUGGUGAAAUCUCCGGGCUUAACCCGGAAACUGCCAUUGAUACUAUUUGUCCUGAAUACUGUGGAGGUCAGCGGAAUAUGUCAUGUAGCGGUGAAAUGCUUAGAUAUGACAUAGAACACCAAUUGCGAAGGCAGCUGGCUACACAAAUAUUGACACUGAGGCACGAAAGCGUGGGGAUCAAACAGG